rnacentral:lncRNA from 1 species
AGGGCACCAAGAGUGCAGAUCAGGGAGAGAGAUCAAUGUUUUUCAGACUCUUAACAAAAUGUCUUCACAACUAGAAGGACCUGCAACUGAGAUAUACAACUGUGUACGGGGGGGGGGGGGGGGGAGGGGGUUGGGGACACAAAGCAGGAAAAGAAAUGUCUUAUUUAUAUACAUAUACCUGCUAAUGCACAAACACACACAAAUAUAUUUAACUGGAACAAACGUUUCAAGAAACUAUAGUUACACUCAUUGUGAUGCAGGCCAGUAUUUUCUAUUCGAUUCCAUUCCACUAAAAUACAUAAAUUAGAUAUAUUUUAUAUAUUAAUACAUAUAACAGUUAUUUUAUAGAUAUUAUUUAUUCCAUUCCGCUAAAGCAUAUAUAUGUGUGCAUACACACACACAUAUAUAUGCAUGCAUCCUUUUCGGGUCGUGAAUGAGGUUUGGAAGCGGACUCAGGAGCGCGACCAGCGCUAGGGAUUCCCACGAUCCGACACGUCCACAGCCAUGGUACCAGCGGUCUCAGGUUAUUCUGUUUAGGGACAAAUGACGUCCCUCUUUUCCACCUGCCAAUGAGGAAGAUCUCAGAGUGAGUCAAGACUCGCAUUUACCAAGUCAGCUGGAGUAGACUUAGAUUCUAAGCUCCAGUUUCAUGCUGUGGCAUCUGGGGAACCCGAUAACACUACCGGAAAUCCCCCUCUUUCUCCUUCCACGGGCCAGCGCAGAGGGGAGCAGGUGGGUGGAAAACUGAGGCGAGAAGCCAUCGGAAUUAAACCGAGAGAAGAGAAACUACCGUGGGGGGGGUGGGUAAGCUCCUGCUGUUAACACUGCCCCUCCCCCAAGAACUCCCGCCCGCCCGCCUCCAACUCCGCCCCCCUCUUUCUCCCCCCGUCGGUCGCUCCUCCACCCCGACAUCUCCUUUCUCCCUGCAGAGGAACAGUUCGCCGCGUAGCAGCCGCUGGGGCGCUGGGAGCGGCGGGAAGGGUGGAAGAAGGCAGGCGCAGAGGCCCGGAGAGGCGGGAGCCAGGUCGCGGCCCCGCAGCCGCUCCGGUCUCAGUCCGGGUAUUCUCGGUGGCAGAGCCCGGGCCUGGCCGCCGGCGCCGCGGGUGGGAGGACGGCGCCUGGAGCGGAGCCCGGAGGCGCGAAGAGGAGGAGCGGGUCUCAGUCCUGGGAGCGGGAACAGCGCAGGCAAGCCGGGGAACCUCGGGGGCGGUGACCGAGGGCUGGACAGCUCGGGUCACCGCGGGACCCCACUAGGGGACUACGGGGAACCGGCCUCACCCGCGGAGCGCUGAGAAUAACCCAGCGGGCAUUCAAACUGGCGAGUCCGGCUGCGUUCCUGCGGCCCGCGCCCAGCCGAGCCCUGAUUGGCGUUCACGCAGCCAAUCAUAGCCUCAGGGCCUGAGGUGGGUGGGGCCGGAGCGGGCCGGGCGCGCCCGCGGAGGCGGACCCCGAGGACCCUGUCUUCUGGGUGCGCCAGAAACGGAGGGGGGCCGGUUGGCGCGUCCCGCUUCUCCGCGCCUCGUUGGAAGGCCACACCCGGGCCUGGAGACCUGGACAGAAGCGGACACUGCGACUCAAAACCCCAGGCUCAAUGGGAGAUGCCUACCGUGCAAAGUCCCGGAGCGCUGGCCUGGAGGAAGAGGGCGUCCCGCGCCUGUGCAAAUACCUGGAGAACGCGCGGGAGACGAUGCUGCUGCAGGGUAUCGAAAGAGGGUAACAACCUCGUCUUCAAGUAAAUAAAGGGAGGGAUUCAAAUUAUAAGGCAAAGGAAAAAUUGGUUCUUUGCUGUGGGGAAGAGUUGCUGAAAAUUAAAGAACAAUCUCCUGAGCUGAAGGAAGCUUUGGGUUUGGUAAUUUGGGGUGUGGGGCAGGCCUUCCAGAAUGCCAAGGGCGUCAAGACUAGUGUGUCUCGCCCUUAGUGUUUCCUUCCUCCAUUUGAGAGAGCUUUCUGGCAUAGAACAAAAAAAAAGUUCACCCCUUCUUGUCUCUGCUGACACCUAGAUUCUUCUCAGCUGUAUGUCCCUGUUCCUAUUAGGGUAACACAGGAUGGGGGAAGAAUAGCUCAGUGAUCUUCCCUUCACAUCUCCCCUAAAAGCAUUGUGAAAUAUCAUGUGCCCCCUCCCACAGGCUUAGGUUGACCUGAAAUUCUCAGCAUGUGUUCAAAGAAUUGCAAAGAAUGUAAUUUACAACAUAUUAUAUGUAUAUAUAUAUUAACACGUUUAAAUAAAACUGUUAAUCACAUGUCCAAUGGAAUCUAAAUACCAUAACAUUUUGACACCCAUCGUUAAUUUUUUAAAUGCACAAUCUCUUUCUUAACAGUUGGAAAUUUUACACUGUUCCUUUUUUUUCCUUUGAAUUCAUAUUUUCAUUUUAUUCUCCCUAUAGAAUUUUUUUUUUUUUUUGAAUUCUCAAGCCUGGCUGCAUCCUCAUGUAAUAUAUUUUUGUUCUUGGACUUCUU